UACAAGUAUGGAGUGAAUCCCAUGCAGGCUUAGCCUACGCCACCUAACACAAUGGCGCCACUGGGUGGAGUUGAACCCGAGGCAUCUGUCUGGGAGGCAAGAGUGCUAACAACUACACCACUGUACCGUGUCAACUGCUGCCAUUAGAAUGUCUUAUGACUCCAAUUUAGAAAAAAAUCACAUUUUUAUUCAAAAGUAGGUUUUCUCACCGUCGUCCCCCUUCAGAUGACUCAAGAUAGAAUUUCAUGACAUUUGCAAAAUAUUUUGGCAUUUAUUUCAGACUUGGAAGUUUAAAAAAAGUUUUUUUCAUUACUUUUACAAGUAUGGACUAAACCCAUGCAGGCUUAGCCUACACCACCUAACACAGUGGUGCCACUGGGUGGAGUUGAACCCGAAGCAUCUGUGUGGGAGGCGAGAGUGCUAACCACUACACCACUGUACCGUGUCAACUGCUGCCAUUAGAAUGUCUUAUGACUUCAAUUUAGAAAAAAUUCGGAUUUUUAUUCAAAAGUAGGUUUUCUCACCGUCGUCCCCCUUCAGAUGACUCAAGAU
ensembl:lncRNA